rnacentral:misc_RNA from 1 species
AUCGCGUCUCCCCCCACCCCCCUUGAGUGGGAGGGCCGGAGGAUGAUGGCCUCCCAUGCCUCACCGGGUGUGGAUGGCCUAAAUACGGAGCCCCCGGUUACGAAGUGCCGUGGCAAUAGGUGGUAGACAAGGCCUAGCCUAGGAUGCAUCGGAGUCGCGCACUUUGUAGCUCUUGAGGACUCGCAGGACCCUUAGUUUGUUCGCCCUUAGGGACGGCAAAACCG